rnacentral:rRNA from 1 species
GACGAACGCUGGCGGCGUGCUUAACACAUGCAAGUCGAACGGAAAGGCCUGCUUUCCCUUGUGGAUUGCGGGUACUCGAGUGGCGAACGGGUGAGUAACACGUGAGUGAUCUACCCCCAACUUGGGUAUAAGCCUGGGAAACUGGGUCUAAUUCCCGAUAGGACUGCAGGGUGGUGCCUGUGGCGGAAAACGAUUUUCUAGUGGUUGGGGAUGAGCUCGCGGCCUAUCAGCUUGUUGGUGGGGUAAUGGCCUACCAAGGCGGCGACGGGUAGCCGGCCUGAGAGGGUGGACGGCCACAUUGGGACUGAGAUACGGCCCAGACUCCUACGGGAGGCAGCAGUGGGGAAUAUUGCACAAUGGGCGGAAGCCUGAUGCAGCGACGCCGCGUGGGGGAUGACGGCCUUCGGGUUGUAAACUCCUUUCGACCGCGAGGAAGCCACCUGGUUGGAAGGGUGGUGACGGUAGUGGUAGAAGAAGCACCGGCUAACUACGUG